UACGGGGGGGGCAAGCGUUGUUCGGAAUUACUGGGCGUAAAGGGCGCGUAGGCGGCCAGACCAAGUCGAGUGUGAAAUUGCAGGGCUUAACUUUGCAGGGUCGCUCGAUACUGGUCGGCUAGAGUGUGGUAGGGGAGACUGGAAUUCCUGGUGUAGCGGUGAAAUGCGCAGAUAUCAGGAGGAACACCGAUGGCGAAGGCAGGUCUCUGGGCCACUACUGACGCUGAGAAGCGAAAGCAUGGGGAGCGAACAGG
rnacentral:rRNA from 1 species